rnacentral:tRNA from 2 species
CGGGGAUUAGCUCAGAUGGCUAGAGCGCAGCGUUCGGGACGCUGAGGCCGCCAGUUCAAGUCUGGCAUCCCCGACCA